CGCCUCUUGACCACAAAUAAGAGGUCCAGCCUGCCCAGUGACUUUGUUCAACGGCCGCGGUAUCCUAACCGUGCGAAGGUAGCGUAAUCACUUGUCCUUUAAAUAAGGACUAGUAUGAAUGGCCCCACGAAGGCUAUACUGUCUCCUUUUUCUAAUCAAUGAAACUAAUCUUCCCGUGAAGAAGCGGGAAUAACUAUAUAAGACGAGAAGACCCUAUGGAGCUUUAAACUAUUGAAACACUUGCUUUAUUACUCUUUCCUCCUGAGCCCUUUCAAAUAUUUUAGCAUUUUUAUUUCUAGUUUUAGGUUGGGGUGACCACGGAGUAAAACUUAACCUCCAUGAUGUAAGAGAAUUUCCUCUCAGCUGAAAGUUACCACUUUAAGCACCAAAAAAAUUGACUUCCAUUGACCCAAAUAAUUGAUCAACGAACCAAGUUACCCUAGGGAUAACAGCGCAAUCUACUUCAAGAGCUCAUAUCGACAAGUAGGUUUACGACCUCGAUGUUGGAUCAGGGUAUCCUAGUGGUGCAGCCGCUACUAAUGGUUCGUUUGUUCAACGAUUAAAACCC
rnacentral:rRNA from 1 species